UCCCUGGUGGUUCAAACGAUAAAGCAUCUGCCUGCAAUGCAGGAGACCCAGGUUCCAUCCCUGGGUUGGGAC
rnacentral:tRNA from 1 species